rnacentral:lncRNA from 1 species
UCAAAAUAUGUUCCAGUUGAUUUCCUCAUUAUCAUUUCAGUCUCCAGCUCUAUAGCAACAUCUGUUUGCAAUUUGCAUGAUGGAGUUGGCUUGUCCUCCAGUUUUGAGAUGACUAGCAUGCAUACAGUUCUUGGUCUGCCCAACCAAAUCAAACCAGCAAUGAAUAAAUUGAGAAAAUUGAACACCAUGUGAAAGGAUUUGCAACUGCAGAAUGCCACCAACUUGAAGCAAAAGAAGCCUCAAUUUACAUAAACAUACAGAGAACCCUAUACUAGGAGUUAAAUCCAAGUAAAAUGGAAUCAACAUAAACAAAAAUAACAUCAGAUCAAGAACAUAGAAGUCACUGAACAAAGCAUAAUUGCCGACUCACAGAUAACAUGCACCGUCACCAUUUUGAUUGAAACAAUCAAAACAUGCACUGUCGCCAUUUUUACUGCAAACAUCUCCGGUGAAGGCUUCUCAAAUAAAAUCAUCACCAAAAACACACAUGAAUUAUUAGAUGCUGACCAAAGUGAAAGAUGUUACUGCCUGAGGCUGAACGAGAAUUCAUACCGACAUCACGUUCUCUAGUGCUCCCAUCUCGGCACCUCACACUCCCUGUCAAGCACCCUAGCUUGUUUAGAUAGGCGAGUAUACAUGGAAUCAAUAACAACUACCAGAACGGAAAAAAGAAAGGAAAAGGGUGAAGGGAUAACAGGUCAUAAAAUCGCUAGUCCAAGAGCUCAUAAAACAAUAACAGUACAGAUACAAUGGACACUGGAUUGACUAUCGCAAAAAAUUAUCUGACUGUUGUGUAGUAAAAAUGCAAAAUCGUGUGCAUGUGGUGAUAUGCGUACAAAUGAAGGGGGUGGAGGGAGACCAAAGGAACAAUUGUCUUUAAUGCUACGCAGGAAUCAGCAGCUUCAUUGAAGACAACAUGGGUUUGGCAGGAAAAGGAAGAGGAAUAUCGUGCGGGGGAAACAGUGUUCAAACUUGCGACUUCUGGCAAAAUUAGGCUUAGAGGGAGGGCCCCAUGUCUUGCGUAGAAGAAAUCAUCAUUUGAACACGCCACGAUUUAUUGGGAUGGGUCGAACCAUGUGAAUGAAUGAAAAGAGCCCUCACCUUCUUUGGCUGGAUCUUCAAAGCUUUAGAAAACCAGUUCGCCACACCCCCUACCCCUGUUAUCAGUCCUGUGUUGCCUAUGCUAGCACCCCAAAAUGAUCCCUGACUUUGUACAAUUCCGUAGGGCACACUACAGAAACACAACCUAUGCUUGUUUGCUUGUCUUCUUUUCGACCACCCAAUCCACAACAAAUCUAACGGAACCACUUGAAAUAUCGAUAAACAUGGAAAUUUUAGAAAUUAACUCUGACUAGGCAAGGCAUUGUUCCCUGGAACAAGGACCAUGCGUGUAUUUUGGGAUAAAAUCCCGGAAGAAGAUUAUGGAUGCUAUACUGACACAGAAAAUACAUUUAGAUUUGACAUUGCAUGAUGAUUCCUACAAUUUAUUUUGUGGUACUUUAGCAUGGUGAGAUACUGAAACAAUAUAAUCAUAUCAUAUAGUUACGAUUCACACAUUCUAAUUGAACAGGCGGGUUUAGCAGUUAUCUGUUUGGUAUGAGCGGAACUAUUGCUAACAAAGCAACAGAGGCAAAUGAUGCUCAGAAUAUCAAGGAACCCCACCUUGGAUGGAUGAUAGGGUUUAUGUUCCUCGUCAGUUUUGUUGGCCUUUUUGCUCUGGUGCCUCUGAGAAAGGUACAUGAUUCACUUUCCCACUCUAUUCUCCAGUGACAUUUUGCAAAAACAAACUUUCUG